AAGCUCAAAUUUAAAAUCUGGUGGCCUUUGGCCGUCCGAGUUGUAAUUUAGAGAAGCGUCUUCCGCGCUGGACCGUGCACAAGUCUCCUGGAAUGGAGCGUCAUAGAGGGUGAGAAUCCCGUCUUUGGCACGGAUGCCCCGGUGCUUCUGUGAUGCGCUCUCGAAGAGUCGAGUUGUUUGGGAAUGCAGCUCAAAAUGGGUGGUGAACUCCAUCUAAAGCUAAAUAUUGGCGAGAGACCGAUAGCGAACAAGUACCGUGAGGGAAAGAUGAAAAGCACUUUGGAAAGAGAGUGAAACAGUACGUGAAAUUGUUGAAAGGGAAACGCUUGAAGUCAGUCGCGUCGAUCGAGACUCAGCCUUGCCUCGGCUUGGUGUACUUCUCGGCUCGACGGGUCAGCAUCAAUUUUGCGCCUCGGAUAAUGGCAGGGGAAAGGUGGCACCUUUACGGGUGUGUUAUAGUCUCUUGUCGCAUGCGAGGGGUGGGAUUGAGGAACUCAGCACGCACCUUGCUGUCGGGGCUUUUUUGCCCACGUCACGUGCUUAGGAUGCUGGCGUAAUGGCUUUAAACGACCCGUCUUGAAACACGGACCAAGGAGUCCAACACGCCCGCGAGUGUUCGGGUGGAAAACCCGUGCGCGUAAUGAAAGUGAAAGUUGGGACCUCUGUCGUGGAGGGCACCGACGCCCGGACCAGACCUUCUGUGACGGAUCUGCGGUAGAGCGUGUGUGUUGGGACCCGAAAGAUGGUGAACUAUGCCUGAAUAGGGUGAAGCCAGAGGAAACUCUGGUGGAGGCUCGUAGCGAUUCUGACGUGCAAAUCGAUCGUCAAAUUUGGGUAUAGGCGAA
rnacentral:rRNA from 1 species